rnacentral:rRNA from 1 species
CCUACGGGAGGCAGCAGUGGGGAAUAUUGCACAAUGGGGGAAACCCUGAUGCAGCGACGCCGCGUGAGUGAAGAAGUAAUUCGUUAUGUAAAGCUCUAUCAGCAGGGAAGAAAAUGACGGUACCUGAGUAAGAAGCCCCGGCUAACUACGUGCCAGCAGCCGCGGUAAUACGUAGGGGGCAAGCGUUAUCCGGAUUUACUGGGUGUAAAGGGAGCGUAGACGGCAGUGCAAGUCUGGAGGGAAAGGCGGGGGCCCAACCCCCGGCCUGCUCUGAAAACGGUGCGGCUGGAGUGGAGGAGGGGUAAGUGGAAUUCCGGGGGUGGCGGUGAAAUGCGUGGAUAUUAGGAGGAACACCAGUGGCAAGGGCGGCUUACGGGACUGUAACUGACGUUGGGGCUCGAAGGCGUGGGGAGCAAACAGGAUUAGAUACCUAGUAGUC